rnacentral:rRNA from 1 species
UACGGAGGGAGCGACCGUUGUUCGGAUUUACUGGGCGUAAAGGGUGUGUAGGCGGUCUUGCAAGUCAGGGGUGAAAUCUCUCGGCUCAACCGAGAAACUGCCUUUGAGACUGCAGGACUUGAGGGCGUGAGAGGAGACUGGAAUUCCUAGUGUAGCGGUGAAAUGCAUAGAUAUUAGGAGGAACACCAGUGGCGAAGGCGAGUCUCUGGCACGCAUCUGACGCUGAAACACGAAAGCCAGGGGAGCGAACGGG